rnacentral:rRNA from 1 species
UGGGGAAUAUUGCACAAUGGGCGCAAGCCUGAUGCAGCCAUGCCGCGUGUAUGAAGAAGGCCUUCGGGUUGUAAAGUACUUUCAGUCGGGAGGAAGGUGUCAAGGUUAAUAACCUUGGCAAUUGACGUUACCGACAGAAGAAGCACCGGCUAACUCCGUGCCAGCAGCCGCGGUAAUACGGAGGGUGCAAGCGUUAAUCGGAAUUACUGGGCGUAAAGCGCACGCAGGCGGUUGAUUGAGUCAGAUGUGAAAUCCCCGGGCUUAACCCGGGAAUUGCAUCUGAUACUGGUCAGCUAGAGUCUUGUAGAGGGGGGUAGAAUGCCAUGUGUAGCGAUGAAAUGCGUAGAGAUGUGGAGGAAUACCGGUGGCGAAGGCGGCCCCCUGGACAAAGACUGACGCUCAGGUGCGAAAGCGUGGGGAGCAAACAGG